GCCGAUGUAGCUCAGUGGUAGAGCGCUUCCUUGGUAAGGAAGAGGUCACGAGUUCAAUCCUCGUCAUUGGCUCUA
rnacentral:tRNA from 1 species